rnacentral:rRNA from 1 species
AGAGUUUGAUCAUGGCUCAGGAUGAACGCUAGCGGCAGGCCUAAUACAUGCAAGACGAACGGUAAGUUGAGUAGCAAUACUUAGCCAAGAGUGUCGUACGGGUGCGUAACACGUAUGCAACCUACCUAUACAGGAGGAUAGCCUAGGGAAACCUGGAUUAACCCUUCAUAGUAUUAUUGGAUGGCAUCAUUUGAUAAUUAAAACUGAGGUGGUAUAGGAUGGGCAUGCGUCUGAUUAGUUAGUUGGCGGGGUAAUGGCCCACCAAGACGAUGAUCAGUAGGGGUUCUGAGAGGAAGAUCCCCCACACUGGCACUGAGAUACGGGCCAGACUCCUACGGGAGGCAGCAGUAGGGAAUAUUGGUCAAUGGAUGCAAGUCUGAACCAGCCAUGCCGCGUGCAGGAAGAAGGCCUUCUGGGUUGUAAACUGCUUUUGCCAGGGGAGUAAAAUUUCCAUGCGUGGAAAACUAGAAGGUACCUGGUGAAUAAGCCACGGCUAACUACGUG